rnacentral:rRNA from 1 species
AUCCGGGUUGCGGACAGUGUCUGGUGGGUAGUUUGACUGGGGCGGUCUCCUCCUAAAGAGUAACGGAGGAGCACGAAGGUCAGCUAAUCCUGGUCGGACAUCAGGAGGUUAGUGCAAUGGCAUAAGCUGGCUUGACUGCGAGCGUGACGGCGCGAGCAGGUGCGAAAGCAGGUCAUAGUGAUCCGGUGGUUCUGAAUGGAAGGGCCAUCGCUCAACGGAUAAAAGGUACUCCGGGGAUAACAGGCUGAUACCGCCCAAGAGUUCAUAUCGACGGCGGUGUUUGGCACCUCGAUGUCGGCUCAUCACAUCCUGGGGCUGAAGUAGGUCCCAAGGGUAUGGCUGUUCGCCAUUUAAAGUGGUACGCGAGCUGGGUUUAGAACGUCGUGAGACAGUUCGGUCCCUAUCUGCCGUGGGCGCUGGAGAACUGAGGGGGGCUGCUCCUAGUACGAGAGGACCGGAGUGGACGCAUCACUGGUGUUCGGGUUGUCAUGCCAAUGGCACUGCCCGGUAGCUAAAUGCGGAAGAGAUAAGUGCUGAAAGCAUCUAAGCACGAAACUUGCCCCGAGAUGAGUUCUCCCUGACUCCUUGAGAGUCCUGAAGGAACGUUGAAGACGACGACGUUGAUAGGCCGGGUGUGUAAGCGCAGCGAUGCGUUGAGCUAACCGGUACUAAUGAACCGUGAGGCUUAACCUU